rnacentral:sRNA from 1 species
CAAGUUGGCCAAUAUUUCCUACACGUCAUUGUUUCUUAGGAUCUGAUCUUUCAUUUUUUAUGUCAUCAAGAAUUCUGUUGCAGGUGUCCAUUGUGCGGGCAGAGAGUAGACUGUGAUUCCAGAGUUUGAUCAUAAACAUGCGCCAUCCCCUCGGAGUUUUCUAAAAGUUCUUCUCCAUGAUGUCGGGAGAAUGCCUCACAAGCCCAAGGUACGUGACUAUCAGCUAGUAUCCUUUGUUUUCGAAUAAAUGAAUUCCACAUGUGCAUAAUGCGCUUCUCAUCUUUUGUAACAUCAACAAAAUCAUCAAGCAUCUGCAUUUACUCAGCAAAGCCAAGUUUUACUGAAAAUAGAAACAAAAUAAAGAUGAGAAGAGGCCUUUUUCGAUCACCUGUGCCUUAUGAGAAUGGAUGAACUGACGUUUUUGCAGAAGUAGACGACUGCCAGAUAAUAUAAAUGCAAUGAAGAAUAAUUUGUUUUGCAUGCUAGGAUACCAUAAGACGAGAAAUAUACCAUUUUCCUCUUGGACAUCAUCCUCAGACUCCGCUUGUGUUUCUUCAGGUGAUCCUGAUUCCAUAAUAUGUGCAUCUGCACGCGCAACCGGAAGUAUUUCUGUUCUACUCUUUUUAAACCUUGAUCUGAUGGAACACAGUUAGGCACAUUGAACAAAGGAUUUAGCAUUCCAUGUACGUAAAAUUUAUGCUAGUUUGCAUGGGCUGGAUCCCACAACCCUGAUACAUCAAACCUAGGUCAAUUAGGUACAGUGUAUGUCCUUUAUCACUAAUUUACCUCUGUUCUCAUGUUAUCUUUCUUCAGCGUAACAUUAACAGCCUGGUAAUAUUUACUCACCCAGAAUUCGUAGUGGAACAGAUCAUGUGAUGAAGUCAUGUGACAUUCCAGACCCUAAUGUUGCACAAAAUCACAAUAUUAGAUGGAGGGAGGGAAGGAGGGGGAGGAUAACCUUCACUCAUUUGUGUGUUCUUGUAGUUAAAGAGCACAUUUCCAACUCUUAGCCUGUACAAAAAGAACUUCUCAAAGAUGGUGGGACGUCACUAUAUGAGAAGGAAUUAUACGGAGAUUUGAGUAUGUCUUUUGCACCAGCCUCUGCUGCAGAUACUUUUACUUGCAACUGAUAUGGAACCUCAUCAGCUUUACGGGAACAAAAUGACAAGCAAUUGUCAUGCUCAAGAAAUGUUGGCUGCACAUGCUAGCCUGGGCUCAUACAUAUACUGAUAGGUGACUCCACUAUAUGCCCCAAAAUUAAAUCCGCACAAGUCUCCAAAGAUGAAUUAAGUAAAGUGAUCGGAAUUUUACCCCAGAAACAUUUCCCUGCAAGCUCUGAAAAUGCAUAUGAAACAAUAUCAUUUUCACAAAGAUUUUGUCCAGUUCGCCCUUUAUUUUUUUUGGUACCGCGGCUAACAAGGAUAAAAGUAAGACCAUAAGCUUGGGUGGCAAUUAAAGUCUCCAGAUCAGGAAUAACAAAUGUGGCUUCAGCACGGUCAUUAUUCCCAGAGUCAUUAAAGGAAGUAAGCAAACGGGCCUGACUGAACCGAUAUAUUGGAGAAUGCUGCAAUAUCAAGCCAUAGAUGAGAAGAGAAUAGGUCUAGCAAACAGAACAUACAGAGGAAAGAUAUUCUGUGCUUGCAAUUCCUUAUUGUUACUUCCAGGUAAUGAUAUAGUUAUCUGUAUCCUACAUUCAUGAACACAGAUGCAAAUCAGAAAGACAAGGUUUUCAUGAUGAGAUUUACAUUUUCAAUGGCUCGGUGUCGAAUAAAGUUGUACAACUCAAGUGGCUUGCAGUAUAAAGCUAAAUUUUCUUCAGGGUUAAGUUGUUGAUCUGAAGAGAACUGAGCGACAGAGUGCUCACAGCACAUCUGGCAUAGCAAUUAACAUAGUUGGCAUUUGCGUACACUGCAUCAUGGUCAGUCAAAGGUAGGCCAGGCAUCCUUGUCGACGAAAAGCUCGGUACACUGGAAUCCACCAAAAUCAGCACAUAGAAGCACAGACGAGUGCCCUAGUCAGAUCUCCAAUAGUGGAAAGAGAAGAGUUUUUCUCUUGAUAGGAUCCGGUCGAAGAACGGUGGUGGCAAGGUGCUUGCGAAUUAUAUGAGAGGAUUUGGGGAUUGAUUUGCUCGACUUCUUUCCUGCGCACAGGCAGAUCGAAAUGGAGUGCGCAAAUAUGACCAGGCGCAGAAGGGGAAUGAGGGCCUAGGUCAAGGCCUCGCCGAGGUGGGGGGCGACUCGGGCUCACGGGCGCUGGGUGCUUCUGCUGCUGCGGCCGGCGAAGGGGGAGGAGGCCGAAGAGCAGCUCCGGUGGAAGGGGAAGUCGGGAGCCCCGGUACACGGCGGCGCCGGCGUGGGGGGAGACGGCGGCGCGCGCCGGUGGGGAGCGGGAGUAGCGGCGGCGCUGGAGUGGACUUGGAUGGAG